rnacentral:rRNA from 1 species
AACGUAGGAGACAAACGUUAUCCGGAGUUACUGGGCGUAAAGGGCGUGUAGGUGGUUUCGUAAGUCUGGCGUGAAAGCCCGUGGCUUAACUACGGGUCUGCGGUGGAUACGGGCAGGCUAGAGGCUGGUAGGGGCAAGCGGAAUUCCUGGUGUAGCGGUGAAAUGCGCAGAUAUCAGGAGGAACACCGGUGGCGAAGGCGGGUCUCUGGGCCGAUACUGACGCUGAGGAGCGAAAGCGUGGGGAGCGAACAGG